UACAGAGGUCUCAACCGUUGUUCGGAUUCAUUGGGCGUAAAGGGUGCGUAGGCGGUCGCGCAAGUCGGAUGUGAAAUCUUAGGGCUCAACCCUGAAACUGCAUUCGAUACUGCGUGGCUCGAGUACUGGAGAGGAGACUGGAAUUUACGGUGUAGCAGUGAAAUGCGUAGAUAUCGUAAGGAAGACCAGUGGCGAAGGCGCCGCUCUGGGCCGUGACUGACGCUGAGGAGCGAAAGCGUGGGUAGCAAACAGG
rnacentral:rRNA from 1 species